AUAUGUUGGUUUUUCCCAUGUUUGGAGAUAUCAUGCUGUUAUCUCAUAUAAAAGUGCUUGAUUUUUGGAAGACAACCUUUAAAUUUGGCAUAAGGUACAAGGGCAACAGGAGUUAGCAGAGCUGUAUAGGCAGCAUGAAUGCACACUCAAUAGGUUUGAGUUCCUUGUUCUGUACUGGGGAUAAAGCAGCUGAGAGGAAGGGGAUAUUUAGAAGUUUGGGGCUAAAUAUAGUGAUAAAGGUAUUUACUGCAGAAAAGCUUGAUGAUUAUAAUUAUUUUAGAGGCUUAUUGUUCAGCCUGCUGAAGCUGUCUGUGGUACCUCAGAGAGUCUCAGAGAAAGCCUCCUGAAACUUCUCUCUGCACAGGCCACAUUUUGUCUCACAUCCUAUUGCCACUGCAGUUGUUCAUCUUUCUUCCUCUCAAGCACCUCUCCUAUUUCCAGAGGGCUACUGUGUUGCAGCAUUUGAGAAUGUAAAGCAGAAGCACUGUCUCUUCUAUGCUCAGAGCAAUUUCCCUUCUGGCACUCAGCUUGUUGGAGAGCAGCUGUCCUCAAGCACAGAAAUAGGAAGAGAGGGGAGGUUACUAGAGUUUGGGGAAGAGACCUCACCUCAAGCCUGUAGAGGUAAGAGAUGCAAAGGGCAGGAGCUGUGGGAAAUGCAGUAAAAAGAGCAAUGACAAAGGUGAAAAGUGGAAAGAGACAGAAGACAGAGCCUAAGUGCAGCAUGGCUUUUCUGUCAGUGUUUCUAGUUGUGGAGGUAGGUAGGGUGUGGGACAGUGGUGCACAGGGGAAGCAUGUAAUUGGUAACUUUCAUGAAACAUUCCCCAGCAGGGAAACAAAAAAUCUCCAAAUCUCAGUGCUAGUUCAUAAUUGUUUUGGCCAAGGGAUAGAAGUCCACAUGACAGAUCUAGAGGUCAACCCCUUGCUGAUAACAUUUGUAUCAAGGAAUACAGUUUUGCAUAAUGAGCUUUUCCUUGUUUUGAAUUUAAUAACUGAUCUGUAUAAGCAUUUCUAUAUCUGCUAACUAUUUAAUUUCUCCAAGUAUGGAUAAGAUAAUGUUUUUUCAAUCUUUCCUGCUUGGAUAUAGUUACAGUGAAGAUGACCUGCACAACCCUUUCUAGUCACAUGUGCACAUGACCAUAAAUAGACUUUCAUUGCACGAUCACAUGUUCUUUCUUCCACAGCUGCCUCUGUAUGUUGCAGGCAUUGGGAUGCUGUUGAUAAUUUGCUAUAGUUUGUAAAGCAGUGAGAUGUAUAUUCCUUAACUUUAGUUUCAAUGGAAUAGAAAUGGUGUGUUCCCAUAGAGAUAUCACAGAACAGUUAUGCUUGGAAGGGAUCACAGAAGGUCAUUUAGUUCAACCUUUCUGCUCAAAGAGGGUUGAAGAACAUAUUUCAAAUUUACUUCUGUAGCAAUGCCCAAUUGUUUGUUGCAUUCUAUAGAGAAAAAAACCCAUCAAAAUCAGUCAUUGCUCUCAGCGUUUUUUUCCCCUGAUUUUGUGGUGCUUAGUAUUUGCUUCUCUUGUUCAAUGCAGGAAGCUGUGUUGUGACAAGAAAGGCUUUCUGCAACUGGUACAGAUGAAAACGUAUCAGAACUGAGACAGCAGCUAAGUAAAACAUCAUGUGUUAGGCAGCAGCACCUCAGAGCAUCCAGAAAGCAUCAAAAGAGAAGCUACAUGAACUCCAAGUAGAGUCUGGUAUGGCUGUUCCUACACUGGCACUCCACUAAAUAUAGUUGGAUUGAGUAGGUGUCUGCCUUGUCACCUUAGUGGUAGAUGUGGUUUACCAAACUGUGUUCCUGUUUUCAGAGAUGUGACAAACAUUUUCAUUCCUAAGGACGAAUUAAAGCAAAAGCAAUUCACAAGAACACUGCAAGCUGCUUUCUUUGCAUUUUGGAGAGUUGCUAGCGCCUCCAUCUUUGCAUUUUGGAGGGUUUGUAUUUGCUGUGGUGACUACUGAACAGUAGCUGUAUAGCUGUUUAGUUAUAUAGCUGUACAGCUGUCCCUCCAAGCUGGCCUCUGAUAAUAAUUGGAUCCAUUAUCCUAUGGAACAGGGGCCAGUUGCCUGUUUAGCCCAGCUGGCUUUCUUUAACAUAAAACCAGGAAAAAAAGAAAGGCUGGCACAACAGAGAUUCAGGAGGAAAAUGGAAGACAGGAACAUCACUCACUCCAAGGAUUACACUUGUUUGCAAGCAAUAUGGAAUACUUUUGUUUUUUCCUUGGGACACAAUCUCUCAGAAGAAUCAGUCAGAAGGAAACUGAAAAAACUAUAAGCUUGCAGGCUGGAGAAUGCUUAAUAGCACCUAUCCUUUAGCCUUUGAUGUAUCCUGAUCCUCUUUUCUGUGUCCCUUUCAAUAUGCAUGAUUCUUCAAUCAUUACUGGCAAGCAAAGUCAUUGAAAUCACCAGCAACCUCUCUCCUGGCCAUUGCAAGAUCAUCCAUCUUGGUACUUUCAUCCAUCUCAGGGAUUUACGGUUUAUUUUAUAGUGAAGCAUUUCUGACAACUGCUAAGAGCUCUUUCCGACUAGGGAGCACUUAGCAACAAGAAAGGUAACAGCGCCUAUGUAUUUAUAUGCUUCUGUAGCAUUAUUCAUCAUCAUGAGGGAAAUCCUUGCCUGCCUUAUUAGAAAAUCUCUAGGAUGGUAGUGUGGGCUCAGAUUUGACCCACAGUCCAGGAAGAGCUCAGCCCUCAGAAACAGAAAUCCAGUACAUCCAGUUCAGUUGAAAAGCCUAGAGGAAUGUGCAGGUGAAACAGAUCUGUUUCAAGCAUGAUCCCCAGAUAAGGCUUCACAUACCCCUGAGGCUCAGUGGGAAAGUUCUGCACAACUCUUGUGCUAAAGCGCAGUCCACCGAGAUGUGUACUCUGACUUGGUUUCCAAAGAACAGCAGAGCAUCUCAGGGGAUAGGACAGGGAAGGGCAGCAGUAGACAGAACCAGAAACUGUACUCUCUAGCUCUCUGUUUUUCCUGUGCUCUGUCAAGGCCUGAAGCCAAA